rnacentral:tRNA from 1 species
ACUUUUAAAGGACCAUAGUUUAGCCCACCAGCCUUAGGCGUUGGCAACCCU